rnacentral:misc_RNA from 1 species
AACCACCAGCGAUUCUCUCGACACGUAAGCCAAACGAAACUGCAACCACAAAUGGAAGAGGUGCACGGCGUCGACGCUAGUCCGAAUCACGGUGACGAUAGCCGCCAGGCCGCCGUCCAUGUACAAACACGGCGAUCCACCGCGGCCGAUGGAUAAGGCGUAAAAGAAUAGAGGAUCAACGGCUAAAGCCAUGCCACGUGCCAAUAAAAUCAUUCGGUUCCAUCUCUGCACGCGCUUGCUUCGAGGGUCUAAUACACGCCCAAACGGCCCCGAUGUGU